UGGUUUGUGGGAUUUGUGUGAGGAAAGCGCCACAGGUUUCAGUUCCAAGGACAUCACAAGACUAUAUUAAGUGUGAGAAUUGUGCUACAGAAAUAGAGAUUUCUCCUAGACGGAAGAGGCUUAUGCGAGCCAAAGCUCAUGAUAAGUAUGAGAAGAAGAUAGCAGAGCUUUCUGAACGAUAUGAACAUA